rnacentral:lncRNA from 1 species
GAACCUGCCCCUGUGGCCGGCUGGGUCCGCCUCCCCCUGCAGCCUCCCGGGCGAAGACGCCAGAAGACAUAUCAGCUUUCUUUUCGUUGGUGUUUACAAGAUGGGAGUCUCACUCUGUCGCCCAGGCUGGAGUUCAGUGACGCAAUCUCGGCUCACCACAACCUCCGUCUCCCAGGUUUAAGCGAUUCUCCUGCCUCAGCCUCCCGAGUAGCUGGGAUUACAGACGCCCACCACCAUGUCUGGCUAAUUUUUGUAUUUUUAGUAGAAAGGAGGUUUCACCACAUUGGCCAGGCUGGUCUUGAACUCCUGACCUCAAGUGAUCCACCUGCCUCAGCCUCCCAAAGUGCUGGGAUUACAGGCAUGAGCCACCACACCCAGUCCUGAAAUUAACAUUUGAGACAGUGGACUGGGAGAGGCAGACCCACCCUCAAUCUGGGUGGGCACCAUCUGCCCACCCAGCUGCCAGCACAGCUAGGAUAAAAGCAGGCAGAGGAACGUGGAAGGACUAGACUGGCUGACUCUUCCAGCCUUCAUCUUUCUCCUGUGCUGGAUGCUUCCUGCCUUCGAACAUUGGACUCCAAGUUCUUCAGCUUUUCGACUCUUGGACUUACACCAGUGGUUUGUCAGGGGCUCUCCAGCCAUCAGCCACAGACUGAAGGCUGCACUGUUGGCUUCCCUACUUUUGAGGUGUUGGGACUCGGACUGGCUUCCUUGCUCCUCAGCUUGCAGACGGCCUAUUGUGGGACUUCAUCUUAUGAUCGUGACCUGGCUUCUUGAGACUGGAAUAGAAGAAGGGGGAAAAGCCUAGGACAAUAAACUGAUCCAGUCAAGACUGCUUCUGAGAGCAAGUACUACCAGAAUUGCUAGGCCAACCCAAACUAAAGGAAUAUCAAAAUGCCCCAUACAAGUCAUAGUGGAUGAAGGACAGGGUCAGGGAGUCUAUUCAAUCCAGAUGCCAGUCUGCUAAAGCAUUAGAGAAAUAGGAGAGAUAAAGCAAGAGAAUUAUGGGCAGUUAGGCAAGGCUGAGUCUGUAGCCAGGUUACCAUAAAUCUCAAGUUGAGGCCACAGAUUUCUCGAAAGCAAGGAUUCUUAACCAGGAUAUGUUUUUGUAUGAACACAUGCCUGUACUGUCCCUCAAGAUGACACAUUUACUCCCCAGAUCUAACAUUAUAACAAACCCUCAGAUGACAUCAUCUAGGGUGCUCCCUCUGUGAAUACACACUAGAAGAAAUGGUUAUAGGAGCUGGUUGAGACAGGUUCUUAGGACAUAUUGUCUGCUAACCCAAGUUCAGAUGAUUGAUGCCAACAAAGAUUGCCACAGUCCUAAAGUAGCAUCCCCCUUCCCAAAUCAUUAAGGAUAUAUAGAAGGUCCUUGGAUUCAUCCCACAUUUCAUCCAUGUCACCACCCUGCUGAUGAAUCUAUUCAAGGUCUAUUAUCCAUUCGGUUCCUUGGAUGGAUAAAGUCAAGCUUUUCAGCAAAUUAAAGAGACUUUUCAUUCAUGCUAUAAUGUUAAUUUCCUUCAACUCACAAUGCCUUUUCAUGGAAAAGAUCAAUACUUCCAACCUCAGCCAGGACUAUUUUUUCACAAACAAAUCCUAGGCCAGUAUUUCCCAAGCCUCUCUGAAGAAACACCCCAGAUUCCUGAACCCAAACCUAGAUCUAUGAUUAUAAUUUCCAGGGACAAAAUCUGGUAAUCUGCUCUAGACAAAUACUCUCGUAGCUUAAACAUACUUCUUUUGUAAAUGCAUCUCUUUGUUUAACCCCAAACCACAGCUCUUCUGGGUGAAAGAGCUCCUACAGUGAUGGCUGACUUCAACACUGCUUGGGAGAGGCCUGGCACCCAUAACAUCUGAGACAUCUCUACCAACUGGGAUCUCCUUUCAAGUUCAGUCAAAAACAGUCAAAGUUGGCCCUGUUCUUCCAACAACCCAUGUCUGAUGCAGUCUCAAAUCUUUUUCUAAAUAAGGCAGGGAUAAGAAAGACAGGCAAAUGGAUCCUCAUCCAGAAAUGGAUUCUAGAACUAAACCUGUAUCACCCCAGUUGCAGAUUUCACAAGAAUAUGGUCCUGCCUGGUCCUGUUGGGUUUGAUGGGGUUCAAAACAUGCUACCCCAAAAUAUGGCACCUUGGCAUAUUGAAUAUUUUAAGCUGAAGGAAUUUGAGAAGCAGCCAUUGCAGGAAGGACUCUCUAACCUCCCCUUUCUCGCCAGAGCACGUCAUAAGACCCUCACAGAAGAGGUGCCCUCCCUAUAACUGGAGGAAGGGAGCAUCCUUAUGUCAGAAGACGGAAGGAUGCUGAGAGGAAUUUGAGGGAAUGGGCCUUGCUAUGUUUCCUCCAGUUUACUAUCCUUAGUUCAUAUCCUUUGUCCUAUCACAUUUUCCCACAACACUCCACUCUUCAUUAAAUCAAAUAUAAAAGUGCUCAGGCUUAACCUGAACUGGCUUAACCUCAAGCUAACCAUUCUUUGGGUCUUCCUUUCCUUAUGAAGGCUCCUAUGUCAUGUAAAACUUAUAUUAAAUAAAUGUGUUUGCUCUUCUCAUGUUAAUCUGUCCUGUCAACAUAGUUUUCAGGCCCAGCCAAGAACCCUAGGAGGGUUAAGGAAAAGUUUUACUCCCCUACAGCUUUCAUCAUAUUCCUUCUCCAGUGACUUUACUGAUAUGGUUCUGUGGGUCAUUAAGGUCUCCUGUAGAAGCAACAUUAUUUUUUAUGUCCUAGCCAUUAAAGUCUAGACUCCAGACUGGAUUGGGUGCUAUGAGAGCAUACUUGGUCUACUAGGUCUUCCAGUAACCCUACAUACUCCACAGCAGUCCACCCAUUGCAGGGUCCUAUACAUGUGUACCCAAGCAAAAUAUACACAAGAAUGGGUCAAUCUCUGAGGGUAAUACCUGAGAGAUCUGCAGCCUGCCUUACACAUAUUCCUAAUUGCCUUCCUAACACUAAUUCCCUUGAAAGAACUUGGAGAAACCCGGAGUCCACCUCCAAUUCACAAUGCAGACUAAGAGUUCAGAACAGGAGUGAAGCCUCUAGAAGCAAAGGCCAAACAUAAAAGCAUACUGUAAUCAGGGCCUGGCAUCCAUUACAUACAAUUCUAUUGUUAUGGAUCACACUCUUUUCCUUCUUCAAGCUUGAUUUUACCAGUAAAUAACAAUUACUUUAGAACCACCUUAGCCAAGCUUUAAUGUCUACUACCACUUCAACCCCCUAGUUCACAAUUUAUCUUCUUCCUGGCUCAGCACAUUUGGACUAACCACACAGAAAUGGACCUCUGUCCUAUUUCAGCAUCUGCUAUAGUUUGAAUGUGUCCUCCAAAUUUUAUGUGUUGGAAACUUAAUCCUCAAAUUCAUAUGUUGAUGGUAUUUGGAGGUAGGGCCUUUGGGAAAUAAUUAGGAUUAAAUAAGGUCACCAGGGUGGGGCCACCAUGAUGGAACUGGUGGCUUUAUACGAAGAGGAAGAGAAAUUGGAGCUGGCACACUCUUGCCCUCUCACCAUGUGUUGCCCUCCACCAUGUUAUAAUGCAGCAAGAAAGCCUCACCAGAUGCUGACACCAUGUUCUUGGACUUGCCAACCUCCAGAACCUUGAGCUAAAUACAUUUAUUUUCUUUAUAAAUUUCUCAGUCUUAGGUAUUCAGUUAUAGCAACAGAAAAUGGACUAAGACAGUAUCUUUCUCUUGGGAGUGGAUUGCAUGAGAAAAUCAAGUGGGCAAAGCUCAAAACAUCCAGAUCUCCAAGUCUGGCCCCAAAGGUUCCCAUAUAUAAUAAGGGAAACUAAAGAGAAUCUUGGAAUAUUUUGAGCAAGAAAGUGGUACAAUAAAUCAAUGCUUUACAAAGGUUAAUCUGGCAUCUGCAGGAUGGAUUUAAGGGUAGAAGUUACUGGAUUCAUAGGAAGACUAUUAUACUAAUCAAAUGUGAAGAUUCUGAAAGUCUGAUUUUGAAAGGUGGCAAUGUAGGGAAAAUGUAUAAAGACAUUAGAAAAGAAAAUCAACUAAAUUCAGUGAGUGAAAGUUUUGCCCCGAAAAAAAGAAGGCUUAAGAGAUGACAUGACUUAAAAAUAGAGGCUAGACAUAAGAAAAUUAGAUAUUGGAGAAUGCUGGUGUUCCUGAGGGAGUGAACAAUUUUAGGGAUUACUUAGACAAAGCAAAUUGCUAAUCAUAUAGAAAACCCCAAGCUGUAUGUACCAACAGGGAAAUAAAAUUUGAUUUCCUUUGUGUAUAUGUGAAUAUGCUUACUCUUUUCUAAAUUCAAAAAUGGCUCAGCCAAGAAAAAGAACGUGAAUAGACAAUUCACAGAGGAAGAAAUUCAAAUGGCCAAUAAGCAUUCAAAAAGAUGUUUAAUAGUGGAAUUGCAGCUGAUAAGGAUUGGUUUCUAAAAAUAGAAUGUAAGGCAAAAAUCAAGUAUAAUACAGCCAAUUACCCUUGAAAACCUCUUAAAUCUCCCAUAAAAUACAUUAUAUAUGUUUUGGUGCACAUAAUCCUACAUGUGUAUAUAAAUAUAUAAUAGACUGCUUUGGGGGGUGGUCCCCAAAACCACAUUUAGCUUCAAUCCUUCAUUAUAAUGACCCGCAGAACUCAGAAAAGCUGUUAUACUAAUGAUUAGGGCUUAUUACAGAAAAAAAUAGAGAUUAAAAUCACCAAAGGAGAAAGGUGCAUGAAGCAGAGUCCAGGAGAAACCAAGUGCAAGCUUUGAGUUGUACUCUCCCAGCAGAUCUCUGAAUUCUCCCAGCUACAAUGUGACAAUAUGUACAAAGUAUUGUUAACCAGGGAGACUCAUCUGAGCCUAGAUGUCCAAGGUUUUUUUGGGAGGAAAGGGCAGUAUAUUACACAGAGCACCUAUGUGACUGACCUUAGCUACUCAGUCUCCAGGUCCUCAGAUGCCUAACUGAUACAGUAUGGUCCUGGGCCCUAGGUAAACAAGAACAGGUGUUCACCAUAAAUCACACAAGUGUAACUUAUCUGACAUGGCCUAUGAUCACUAUACAAAGACAUUCUUGGCCAGGCGCAGUGGUUCAUGCCCGUAAUCCCAGCACUUUGGGAGGUUCAGGUGGGCAGGUCUCUCGAGCCCAGGAGUCAAGUCCAGCCUGUGCAACCUAGUGAAACCCCAGCUCUACAAAAAAUACAAAAAUUAGGCAUGGUGGUACACACCUGUAGUUCCAGCUACUUGGGAGGCUGAGGCAGGAGGAUUGAUUGAGCUUGGGAGGUCGAGGCUGCAGUGAGCCGUGAUGGCACCACUGCACUCCAGCCUGGGCAACAGAGCAAGACCCUGUCUCAAAAAAGAAAAACACAAACAGACAUUCUUGUCAGGCAGGAUAUUCCAAGGGUUUAGAGGUUAUCUCCCAGGAGUUGGUCAGAGGCCAGUCCUGAAGAUGUCUGGAAUGUGCAGGAUUUGUAUACCUACACCUGCUGAGUUAACCCUUUGCACAUAAAAAUAUGGACUACAUAUAGAUUAUGCAAAACAUAACUAUAUAACACUCUGUAUUUAAAGACUGGGCUGGGUGCAAUGGCUUACUCCUGUAACCCCAGCACUUUGGGAGGCCGAGGCAGAAGGACUGCUUGAGCCCAGGAGUUGAGACCAGCCUGGCCAACGUGGCAAAACCCUGUCUCUACUAAAGAUACCAAAAUCAGCCAGACAUGGUAAUGCGCACCUGUAAUCCCAGCUACUCAGGAGGCUGAGGUGGGAGGAUCACUUGAGCCUGGGAGGCAGAGGUUGCAGUAAGCUGUGAUCAUGCCACUGCGUUCCAGCCCGGGUUACAGAGUGAGACCCUGUCUCCAGAAAAAAAAAAAGAAAAAAAAAAAAAGAAAAAAAAAAUGACUGGAACCAAAUUUAUCUUGUAGGAAUAUAUCCAAAUAAAUAACAGAUAUGAACAAGAUCUAUAUUCAAGGAUGACAGUAAAAGGGUAAAAAGUUGAAAACAAAUGGAAUGUCAAGAUUAGGAAAAUGGUUAAAUAAAUCAUAGCACAUUCAUAUCUUGGACUAAUAUAUAGCCAUUAAAAUUCAUAUAGUGGGGCUGGGCACGGUGGCCCACACCUGUAAUACCAGCACAUUGGGAGGCUGAGGUGGGUGAAUCACUUAAGGUCAGGAGUUCAGGACCAGCCUGGCCAACAUGGUGAAACCCUGUCUCUACUAAAAAUACAAAAAUUAGCUGGGUGUAGUGGCAGACACCUGUAAUCCCGGCUACUUGGGAGGCUGAGACACAGAAUCACUUGAACCUUGC